UUGCUUUGGCAGCACAUAUCCUGAAAUUGGAAUGAUGCAGAGAAGAUUAGCAUGGUGCCUGAGCAAGGCACACAGAACCAGGGAAACAAGGUUCAAUUUG
rnacentral:snRNA from 1 species